UUACCGAGUGCGGGUUCGAACGAGCCCAACCUCCCACCCGUGUUUACUGUUACCGCGUUGCCUCGGCGGGCCCACUGGGGCCUGGCCCCGGUCGCCGGGGGGCUUCUGCCCCCGGGCCCGCUCCCGCCGAAGCACCCUAGAACCCUGCCUGAACAGUGAGUCUGAGUGAGAUUUUAAAUCAUUAAAACUUUCAACAACGGAUCUCUUGGUUCCGGCAUCGAUGAAGAACGCAGCGAAAUGCGAUAAGUAAUGUGAAUUGCAGAAUUCCGUGAAUCAUCGAAUCUUUGAACGCACAUUGCGCCCCCUGGCAUUCCGGGGGGCAUGCCUGUCCGAGCGUCAUUUCUGCCCUCCAGCACGGCUGGGUGUUGGGCGCUGUCCCCCCGGGGACACGCCCCAAAAGCAGUGGCGGCGCCGCGUCGGGUCCUCGAGCGUAUGGGGCUCUGUCACCCGCUCGGGAGGGACUCGGUCGGCGCUGGUCUUCCCUUUAGGCCGCCCUUCGGGGUGCGCCUCUUCCGGUUGACCUCGGAUCAGGUAGGGCUACCCGCUGAACUUAAGCAUAUCAAUAAGCGGAGGAGAAGAAACCAACAGGGAUUGCCUCAGUAACGGCGAGUGAAGCGGCAAGAGCUCAAAUUUGAAAUCUGGCUCCUUCGGGGCCCGAGUUGUAAUUUGGAGAGGAUGCUUCGGGCGUGGCCCCUAUCUAAGUGCCCUGGAACGGGCCGUCAUA
rnacentral:rRNA from 1 species